CACAAACAUUCUUUUUCGUAAUUCUUUCUCUCUCUCUCCUUCCAACUUUCUCUCUCCUCAUGCAGACUCUCGCCAUUUUCUCCCUCCUCUCGUUCUUCUACAUCUCUCGUGCCAACCUUAGAAGAUCCAAUUUAUUCAUUGUCAUCACAAAUCUGUGGUCUGGAUCUCUAAUUGAUGUGAUAAAAGAACGAAUAUCCCAACAUAGAAAUAAUGGCAGCAAACUUUGCUCUUUGGUACAUGAGUAUGUUGAAUAUGCUGAUAAAGUCUUUCCAAGAGGUGAUAGUAACAAAUGCACUUCAUUUUCUCAUUGGAACCCCCCAAUGGAUCGGGGUAAUAAAACAUAAACAUAGUUGCAACGUUGUUGAGAUGGGAUUUGGUCUGACUUGGAUCUGUAAAUAAGGGACUGCAGUGGAAAGAGUUGUAGCUGCUAGAGUGGUGCCGUGAAAGACUGGAUGGGAGGCGGGUGUUGCUGAGAUGGCUACUGCAAGGCGGGGUAUAUUAAUUGCUUCUAGACUGGGGUAUGAGAAAGUGGUGAUUGAAACGGAUCCCUUUGGUUUCUACUGCUGCUGGUAAAGGUUGAUAGGCAUAAGGGUUGAUGUUCAGUAGAUCAGCCUCUAAUCUGUUUGCUACUGGUCUGUUGCUAUAGUCUUAUUAUCCUUUGGUGUUGUUAGGUUAGGUACUACAACUGAUGAAUCUGACAGGUUGGGGAUUUUCAGUCUGCCAGUUUUAUUUGAAUUCUAAAAGUGAUACUGUAUCUGAUUAAAACCAGAAUCACGCGAUGGUAAAUAAGAAGCAAAGUCCAAAAGUGGUGAAUUUUGUUGGUUGA